rnacentral:tRNA from 1 species
UCCAGGGUAGCCUAGUGGACAUGGCAUCUGCCCGGUAAACGGAACAUUGUGGGUUCGAUUCCCAUCCCUAGAC